UACGUAGGGUGCAAGCGUUGUCCGGAAUUAUUGGGCGUAAAGAGCUCGUAGGCGGUUAGUCGCGUCUGCUGUGAAAACUCGGGGCUUAACUCCGGGCCUGCAGUGGGUACGGGCUGACUAGAGUGCGGUAGGGGAGACUGGAAUUCCUGGUGUAGCGGUGAAAUGCGCAGAUAUCAGGAGGAACACCGGUGGCGAAGGCGGGUCUCUGGGCCACUACUGACGCUGAGAAGCGAAAGCGUGGGGAGCGAACAGG
rnacentral:rRNA from 1 species